GUCAAUUAUCCUUCACAAUUACACUUAUCAGUUGCUACAAUCCUAAAUAUAAAGUAUACAAAUGUGUAGGCUAUGAUGUCGAGUGUCAAAUGACAUUUAUUUUCCUCCAUCAUGCAUGAAAAUGAAAACGAGUCGAGGAGAUAACAUGACAAGUUUCCCCAGACCUCCUGCCACCUCCAACACCAACUCACCACUGCUGAAAAUAAUCCGAGGGAACCGUCAGUGAAGUUGAGUCAGAUCAGUCUGUGAAGAUGCCAGCUGGGGUGUCUUGGGCUCGGUACAUCCGGAUGUUAGGAGCCAGUGUUUUGGCCAUGUUUGCAGGAGCACAGGCUGUCCAUCAAUACUACCUGCCUGAUCUGAGUAUACCAGACGUCCCACCAAAGCCUGGUGAGCUUCGUACGGAGCUGCAGGGCUACAAAGUCAGAGAAGAAGCCUUAAAGAAGGUUAAAUCUGAACGAGAUACCGGCUGAUGUGGAUCUACAUCCUCUGUGUGGCAGACACUGAAAGAAGCGGAUAGCACUAGCCCCACUAUGUCAUGUGUGGGAUGUCUGCACAUAAAUAUCUUCUGUGUUUUCUUCUAAUGGGACAAACAGGAGAAGAAUAAAGUACCAUACCAUUGGCUAUCAGGGAUCUUAAGGAUCUUAUCCGGAUUAUCUCCCCCCCCGCUGUUAUUGCAUUUCUUCUUCCUUCUUGAAUGUGUUUGCAUUGUUGAAGUGCCAAAUACUCUGAGGUUUUAAUCAUGAAAACAUAUAGUGGGAGUUGGAGUCAUGAAAGAGUUUAUGGCCUCCACCAUGGAGAUAAAAAUGUUUUAAAUUAAAAAAAAGACAUCAAACAAGAAUUUUGGCAGCACUUUGUGGUACAUGAGAGUGAUUUAAACUGAAAUGCAUACAAUUUCCUUUUUUGGAACAAAAAAAUUUAAUAGAUAUUUUUUUGGGCGGGGGAGUUGUUCCACUUAUUGGAUGACAGCAUGAGACUUAUGAUUUUUAAUGUUGACUGUAAUUGGUUAGGGAGGGGGAUAUGAAGUGUUCUUAGUAUAGUGUGGCAUGCAAUGCAUUCAUUUGAUCACAUUUUUUGUUGUAUUCAAGCUUGAAGUGCUUUUCAUCAAAAUAGCUUUUGACAGUCCUUUUUUUUUUAAGAUCACAAGUCUAAACUCCUACAUGUUGGCAGGCGUAAAGUUUAAGUUAAGGUUAAAUAACAAUGGAAAUAAUGCCUUUCAAUUGAUAAGUGCUACAGAGAAGUAGAGUGUCAAAUUAUUUUUUACGAAGGAGUACAUAAGUAAAGUAAUAAGACCCCAACACUGAUUGUUUGAGGGAGCUCCUAUCUAUCAAUACAAACUGACAUUAUAACUGAGAGGGUUACACAUAAGCCAAGAUGGUGUUAUAAUUUCCAGAGGAGAAAGGGUUGUUUUUUUUUUAACUUUAAUUUGGGCCUAGCUUUUACACAUUUAUUAAUCGUGUUCAGUUGAUAGUUAUAUAAAUGCUGUUUAAAUGGCUUUACCAUGCAAGUAUUGUGGAUAAUGCUUCAGGCAGCAUAUUUGAUGGGAAGACUGGCUUCCGAUCAAAUAUUAUUGCCCUGCUUCUCUUCUGACCAGUUCAUAAGCAAGUAAGGUUUAUUUAUGUAGCACUUUCCAAGAACAAACUUCACAAUAAAGUACUUUACAAAGUGGUAAAAACCUGGUGGUCACAACAAAAGCACAGUCACCAGUACUUGUAUUGCUCAGCACUGUUGGAUAAGAAUAUGGCUAAGACAGAAGGAAUGUAACUUAGUACGUUUACUCAAGUACUUUACUGAAAAACAGUACUUUAUUUACGUAUUUCUGUGUUGUGCUACUUUCUGCUUCUGCUCCGCUAUAUGGAUGCAGAUGUCGUGCUUUGUACUCCAUGCCGUACAUUUUUAAACUGUAGGUUCGAUAGUUUAUAGACAGAUCAUUUCUUCCCUGUUCAUGGUUUCGGUGUGCCAACCCAGUGAAAACAUCCUGGACACAGCCCUGACCCCGACCUGCGUAUCAUAGCAACAGGUUCAAACAAAAGGGGAAAAGAUGGCGGCGCGGAGGGAGGAAGACGCAGCUGUUUAUCUGGAGAAACACAAACUCAUCGAGCUUAUGGACAACCUGACUAGCAUGCUCUUCUUUUACAGACCCGAGAAACCCAGGGAGUUUCUUAUUGAAAAACUGGAGCAGCUAAAGCUGUCUCAACAGAGUGGUGUGAUUGGGCCAAAUCUGUUCGAUGACUCUAACCUGGAUGUAGUCUUUAGGAUUAUGGACCCUGAUAAUAAACAAUACAUCUCUUUUGUCCAGUACAAACAAGCUUUGACAAUGAUGGGCAUAAAAGACAUCAAUGAAUGUCCCGAUGGUGUAAAUGAAGAUCGGAUAUCCCAUGAGACGUUCAAAACAGAAGCGACACAAGGUCUGGAGAGGUGCUCAGCAACUUAUGUACAGCUGUGAAGUGUUGAGGCUACUGCCCAGCCCAGCUUUGAACUGUUUAGUUUGAAAUGUUAAAAUGUGUAUCUUUAUCUACCAAUAAAUUCAAACCAAAAAAGGCA